UUUUGAUCUCAGCUUAAUUCUGAGAAGAGCCCAUUUCAACGGACAUAUGCUGCUCAGUUAGGGAACGCAUGAAAAUCCAAGGUUCUGUCUAUGCCCACCGUCUGAACAUCUCUACAAGGAAGGUUCAAUGUGCUCGGUGAGUGGGUUUGACGUUACCGAAGCAACCACAACUUCAAGCUCUCUGAUUCUACAACGUCCAUAAGCAUCUCAAAUUGAUCCAAUAAAUAAGGCGAUGUUCUGGUUCCAUAAUCGUGACCUAGCUCUGCAAACACCAACACCUACCUCCCUUAUUUAACUCUCAACCAGGUAAGCUCAAAGUUUUCCAUUCUUAGUGAUCUGUUUCCAGAGCUUUAACUGAUAUAUAAUUCCAUGCUGAAUCUGUACCAAUUAUGAUGAGGUCUCUGGACCAAAUUAUAUUCCUGAAUGCUUGAGCUUACAUCUCAAAACUCUUCAACGGAUAUGCUAUUUAGAAUUACAUGAGGGAAAUAAGUUGCGGUUUACACUCUGUAAAACGCUUUCGGUUAAUGAACACUACAUUGUCUCUACAUUCAGCUGGCGAAGAGAUGAUGAUGACGAGAAGUUAAAAACUUGACUUUUGGGAACUUAAGAAAAAUGCAUUCUAGAUUUGAAAUUUUAAGAUGAGCUGAGAUUUCUUAUACGAAUCUGAAAUUUCAUUAUAAUGUAUUAGACUUUUUCCCGUCUUUUAUUAUUUUUGAUUCAUAAAAUGGUGGAACGACAUAAUAGUUCUGGGAUUAAGAAAUUAUUUAGUAAUCAGAUUUUUUUUAUAUGAUAAUAUUUUUAAACCACAUUUUACAAGAUUUCAACAAGAAAAACCACGGAAAGAAACAAUAAAAUUAUGUGAGUUUGUUUUUCAAACCGAAAGGUUGUGUUUGACAGGUGACAGAAGAAAACAAUAUAAAUCUUGCUUGAAUUGCAUCUUUAAGAGUCACAUCAUUAUGUUAACCAAGCCUCCCUAUCUUCUGCAGGCCGGUUCAAAGCCUUUGGUGUUGCAGCUUCCAGGAAACCAACAUUUACAUUCAGUUUAUACAAUCAAAUCUCUUACUUAGCUACACUAAACUCUGAAGAAGAAAUUUAAUAUGUCCCAAAGAGUUGCUCAUAAGAUUUCUCCUCUUGACGUACAUCUUAUACAUUUUUGAAUGUUUAUUAUUUAGUAAAUGUUUCGUUCAAUUUAUUUUAAAAAUUUUAUUUGCAAGUGAAACACCAAAGAAUAACGAUACUUCCAUCUACCGUUUACUUUGAAACAAAAAUAAAACUUUUAGUAUUUAAAUAUAAGUCUCCUGAGUGUUUGAGCUUAUAGUACUUGGAUAUUUAAAUUGUUUUUCUUGCUGAUCUUCAAAUUUUUAAGAAAUUAUAUAGUUGAAGUUUCCUCGCACUACAAGGAUGAAAAUAACAUUUAAAUCGCACAAGUCAAAAUAGUUGAUAAUACUACACAAUUUCAAUAAAAUAUUUCCUUCAGCGAACUAUCUCAUUGUUUGUUUCCUUAGUAGUUCGGUUGAUCAUUUUAAUUGAUAAUAUUACACAAUUUCAAUUAAAAGUACCAAGUUUUUUUUAAAAAAAAAGGUCACUCAUGGUGAUCAUUUUUUUGUCAACAAUUCAUGGUGAUCUUAAUCAUAAAAAUACCGAAGUCUUAUUUAUUUCGAGAAAGAUAUGGAGGCUUCGAAGGUCCUUAAUAAAGUUGUAAAUAAACCUUUUGUCCUUUAUCCGCCGGGAACAAAAAAACUCAUUCUGUGGAAAGCAAAUAAGACUAUGAAAUUCAACCAGUUACUUAUUAUCUUCAAUCAUUUAGCUACAACAUAUGUUAGGUGUUAGCGUACAUAACUAAUAAAAUAUAAUAUUAGUAUAUUAAAAACAAAAUCCACUCAUCAACCAAUUGUUAUUUGAUAAUAUGAACAAAUACAACUUCAGGUUAUUAAACAACAUAUCUCAACUUCAAAGAGCUACUUUCCCCAUCACAUAAUCUCAUUAGUCCAUAGUUAGUGCCACCAUCAUGGGAGAAUUAAUUUACCAUAUAAACAAUGGUAUCUAAAAUCAAAGUCACGAUAAAAAUAAACAAAUUAACUAAUAUCCCGCCCGUAGGGCGGGCCGACCCUAGUGACCUAUAUAGCAAACAUAAGGGCAUCAUUUACUGAAUAUAAUAGUUCAUUUGUUUCGAGAAAAUUCACACCCCCUUUGUCGUCUCUCUUCAUUAAUUAGAGAAUCACAUAUUUCUCUUCGUUUCACGGGCCAAAAAAUACUAACAAAUGGUGAUAUGCAACUGUCAAAACGCUUUUUUGCACCUGGUGAAGAACCUGUAGGCGAAGGGUUAAUAUGUAUCACAAACCGAAAAGGAUUGAAUCCUUAGUCGACGCUCUAGAUCCAAAAAAGGCUGAAAUCCUUCAUUAUCUGUCAGUUUUGGCCAGUUCGUCAUCGUCUACAUGCUCAUAGUGAAAAAAAAUACGAUAUUUGGUUCCUCUUGUAGGACCAAUUGUAUUAUAAACCCAGUGGGCUGUGUAACAAAUUGGCACUGUGAAUAAAAUUUUAUAAACCCCAAUGGGCUGAGUAAAAUUUUUGAAUUAAUGUGAAGGGUUAUGUGAAUUUAUUUGACUUUUUUUUACAAGCCCAUGGCUGAGUAAAUUGAGUUUGAAUCUUUAAAAUUCAAAGCAAAAAAUAAGAGAAAUUCAAAAAAAUUCAAUAAACUUGGCUCCCAAGUUUAGCUAACUUGGUAACCAAGCUUUUAUACACUGUAAAUACAUCAUACUCCUCUUCACAAAUUGAUCAUCUCAUAACUCACACAAUCAUCUCUCUCACUAGAAAAUAAGCUUUCUCUCACUAAAAAAAACUCUUUAGAUUUUUUCUUCUUUUCAAAGUAAGUGUCUCGAGAGUAUAUCGUAGUAGUUAAGUUCGUAGAUUAUGUUUCGGGUGUUGCGAAACAGUCUCAUCAUGGUUAUAUCCUGGGAUUCAAAAAUCGCAUAAAACCGUCACACAUUACAGGCGGUUUAUUGAGUUAAGGAAAGAGAUCAAAUCUUGAAUCCGUGAAUUUCGUCUAUUUCCUUAAGAUUUUUUAAACGUUUUCAGUCUUUAUAUUAUCGUUCAUAUGCUUUAUGUUUCGUAAUUUUCAAUCAGGAUUUUCGCGGUCCUACAAUCUUAACUCAAUAAAUCCGCUUCUUGCUUAUCGCUUGAAUCGGAUUGAAUAGUGCAAACAAUAUUUUUAAAACGAUUUUAUAAAACGUUUUUUAAAACGAUCUGAAACUGUUCUGCGAACGCUCUUUAGCUAUUCUCAAGAACGUUUUAGAAUAAAAAGACGAAUCAUAUUUAGAAAAUGAUUUACGCGACAUUCUCUGAACGUGUUCGCGAUCUCAUUUUUCUAAAGAAUAUAGCGUUUAAGAAAGCCUUUGGGCGAAUUCUGAAAAAAAACUAUUAAAAGUUUAAGAACGUUUUAAAACGAUUCUGAGAACGACUAUUAAAAAAUUCAAGAACACUUUUAAGUGAUUCUGAGAACGACUAUUAAAAAGUUCAAGAAUGCUUUUAGUUAUUCUGAGAACUGGCUGUUAAAAAGUUCAAGAACGCUUUAAAGCAAUACUGAGAAAGAGUAUUAAAAGUUUAAAAACACCCUUCAGGUGAUUCUGAAAAUGAUUAAUUGCAAUUUAAAAUUGCAUGUUCGAAUUGAAUUUGCAAUACAAACUACGGUUUGUAGUUUGAGAAUAUAUUCAACAAUGUCUUAUAUCCAUGGGGCGAAUUUGAUAAUAUAUUCAACAAUGUCAUAAAGUGAGGAGACAACCCAAACUGGGACUGGUCUACCACUUUGAACGUAACCUACACAAGUUUCGGUUGUACCAAACAACCUUACCGAACUAUAGCUCGACAAGUUCAAUUGAACUGAACUCUAAAAUUAUGGAUAAAUCUUAAAAGAUUGUGUCCAAAUAAUUACAAAAUAUUUCUAUUGAAUAGACCUAAAUCUAAGGAUUGAAAAUUGCGUUCAAAUAAUUAUGGAAUAUUUUGUUAAGACCAAUGAGAUGAUAACUUUAAUCGGGAAUGGUCAUCCACUUGGAUCACACUGUCCCUAUUCCUAGUAAAACCACUAUAUAAAUCUAUAGUGAGUUGAAUACUUCGACGAAACUUUGAGUUUCCAUAUGGACAACAUUAAGGCUUAGAACACAUUCUCAAAAGAAUUUUGCAGUGACAAAUUUUUCUUUUGAUGGACUAUAUGUUUAUCAUAUAAUAGUCAAAGAGCUGUGAUUUUUUAUGCAUGGAGAACGACUUCAUGUAUGUCAUUUAAUUUGAUAUACUAGGUCUAUAGGUAAAUUGGAAAUUUUCCAGUAAAACUUAUCUCUCACAAGCAAAGGCUAUGAGCCAUAUGAGUUGACUGUCAAGUAAGUCAAAUAUGCAAAUCACAAAGUAUAUGAUGUUCACAAUUGGGAACAUAAAACGAAAGUGACUGAGCAAAAAGAACUAGGAAAGCCUAAUGUUCAUAUGAAAUUCAUGAACUUAGCUUUAUAAAGCAUCAUGCUUAAAAGAAGUUCAAUGAAUAGUUUCAAAAAGCUGACACACAUCACAGCAGGACUGGCGAAUGUUGUAGCAAUAUUGGUUUACAUAGAGACAAAGUGAAAUCUCAAACCCAUUUGAUAAAAACUUACAGAUGAAAUGUAGUUUUGGGUCAAUGUUUCAUAACAUAAUGGAACAUAUAUAUGACAACUUAAACGGGAAUAAAUGUUUUUCUAAGAGAAUUAACAUUAUUCCUUAUAAGAAUUGCUCAUUAUUCACUAGAAUCCAAUGAAGUUGCAGAACAAAAGUUCUUAGCAUGCAUGAUCUUGAAUUAACUCAGGAAAUGUGGGGGAGCAUUGCUUACCACAUUCAAACGUUGGCAGAAAGCCAUGUACUUUGAAAAGGUAAUGUACAUUCAUACAAAUACCUCAAAGUGUGGGGGUGCUUCGCAAAAAGUCAUUGUACUAACUCCUAAAAAUGUGGAGGUGCUUAACAAAAGUCAUAGUACUACCUCAUAAAAAAGUUCCAAUUGAACCAAAAACCGUGAAUUGUAUAUUCAUCGGUUAUGCACGCAACAACCGUGCUUAUAGGUUUCUGGUUCAUAAAUCAGAUAUACAGGACAUCCAUGUUAUUACAACCAUGGAGUCAAGGAAUGCAUCGUUCUUUAAACAGAUAAUUCCAGGUAAGGAUAAGCAAUAUCCUAGAUGCAGUCAUGAAGAAAGAGAUGCGAUGAUCUCUGUUAUGAGGCAAGUACUUCUUGCAAUUCUUUAACUGAAGCAGAAGAUGUUGAAGACAAACCUAGACGAAGCAAGAGAGCUCGCAAGGAAAAGUCUUUUGGUGAAGAUUUCAUGAUGGUAUUUCUCGCUGAGAAUGAGCCGAAAUCUUACGUUGAAGCCAUGUCUACACCUGAUGCACUUUCUUUGAAAGAAGCAGUCAAUAGUAAAACAGAUUCUUUAAUGUAGAACCAUACCUACAAAAUAACAGAGUUAUCUCAAGGGUUCAACACUAGGGUGUAGAUGGUUACUUAAUACCAAGUUGAAACUUGAUUGCUCAAUUCAUAAGUGCAAGGCCAAACUUGUGGUGGAAAGGAACAGACAAAAAUAAGGUCUCGCAUUCUUUGGCACAUAUUCUCUAGUGAUGAGAAUAACUUCAGUCAUGAUAUUGAUUGUAAUUGCAGCAUCAGGAGACUUGGAAAUCCAUCAAAUGGAUGUUAAAUCUGCCUUUCUAAACGAAAACUUUAAAAAGGAGAUAUACAUGAAACAACCUGAAAGAUUUGAGAUCUAGGGUUAUGAACACAAAGUCUGCCGACUUGAGUGAAGUCAUUGUAUAAGCUCGUGAAAGCUUUGAAACAACGACAUGAAAAGUUUGACAAUGUUAUAAUGUCAAAUGAAUUAAGCAUCAAUGAGUGUGAUAAUGCAUAUACUUCAAAUAUAUUCCUAGUGGGUAUAUGUUGUGUUUGUACGUUGAUGACAUGCUCAUCAUCGUCACUAAUGGAGAUAUUAUCCAACAAAUCAAGAACAUGCUUCAUAGUCAGUUUGACAUGAAAGACAUGGGCUUGUGGAUCUUAGUCUCAGAAUUAAAAUCACGAAGACUCCUGACGAAAUAAUUUUAUCUCAGGAUCAUUAUGCUGAAAAAAAAAUUCCACUACACUCAACUGCACAUAUUUAGAAACGCAGACGAGUCAGUGUCGCAAGUGGAGUAUGCAAGGGUCAUUGGAAGUCUAACGUACUUAUCCAAUUGUAUAGGACCGAUUUAGCGCAUGCGAUCAACGUAUUAAGUAGCUAUACAAGUAAUCCAAGUAAUACACACUGGAAAGCCAUAACAAGGGUAUUAAAUUAUUUGUGAUACACCAUAAGUUAUAGGCUGUUCUAUGGUAAAGAACAAAGAGUCUUAGAAGGAUAAAGUGAUGCAAACUGGAUAUAUGAAUCUAAGAACUCAAAAUCCAUGAGUGGAUAUGUGUUUACACUUGGAGGUGCAAUAAUAUCUUGGAAAUCUUCCAAAUAAACAUUAUUGGCCAGAUUCCAAAGUAAUCUGAGUUCAUUGCUUUAGUCAAAAAGCUGAAGAAGCAGAAUGGCUUCAUAAUUUUGGAAAAUAUAUCAAUGUGAGAGAAACCACUCCAGCUACGCUUUAGUCAAUUGGCUAUAGCUCGACCAGUGGAUACUCUCUAUAAUGGUAAGUCGCAUCACAUAAGACGACAUAAAACCAUUAAAACUGUGAUCUCAAAACGUCAUCUGACGACCUUAUGGAUUAUUUACCAAAGGUUUAACAUGAGAUUAAGUAUUAAAAUCAUUGAAGGGGACGGGUUUAUUGCCUAUUAAUAAAGGAUGUUUGAUGGAAACCCUACCAACAUGACUGGAGAUCCCAAGAAGUUGGUUCAAAGGGACAACUAAAUCAAACAAAAUCUGAUAAAAGCACUGAAACCUACCCAUAUCCCAAAAUGAUAAUCAGUGCUCCUGUAAAUUUAAGGUUAAACAUUGGCUUUUAAUAAGAUAAGACCAUGACCUUCAUAUACAUGUAUAUAAAGUAUUAUAGGGUACUUUAUUGUGUAUAUGGUAGGUGCACAUGGCAAUCACCUAGUGAGUGUGAAAUGGGGUCGUUUCUAGGAGAACGAAGUUCAGGCUAUACUCUCCAAGUUCACUCAUGACUAACAAGGCAAGUUCACGGCCAAAAUGAACACAAUAGAGAACUAAACUCUACGAGAAAACGCAGAUGUGUUAUAUUUGUUGACUUGGUUUACAUAAAGUUUUGGAGGGUUCAAGACAACAUGUUCACCACCUGAAAAGUAAAUCCGACAAAUAUUAACAAUGAGUAGUUCAAAUCUGGAAAACGCUACUACAUCAUAUACAAUUUAGAUUUUCGCUUAUACUCUCGAAAAGUCUGUCUGCCUAGUCUAGUGUUAGGACUAGUUGUAGAGUCUGUCGAGUCUAAUUAGUCAAUCUAGCCUACUUUUUAGAGUAAUUAUAUUUAUGUGGGGGAUUGUUGGACAAAUUUUAUUAUAAGCCCAAUGGGCUGUGUAACAAAUUGGUAAUGUGAAUAUAAUUUUAUAAGCCCAAUGGGCUGGGUAAAAUUUUGUAUUAAUGUGAAGGGUUAUGUGGAUAUAUAUGACUCAUUUUUACAAACCCAUGGUGAGUAAAUUGAAUUUGAAUAUUUAAAAUUUAAAAACAAAAAAAAAUAGAGAAACUUAGUAGCCAAGUUAGCCAACUUGGUGACUAAGUUAAGCCAACUUGGUGACCAAGUUAAGCCAACUUGGUGACCAAGUUAAGCCAACUUGGUGACCAAGUGCCAACUUGCUGACCAAGUUUAGCCAACUUGGUUUCCAAAUUUAGCUAACUUGGUAACCAAGAUUUUAUCCACUAUAAAUACACCAUACUCGUCUUCACAAAUUGAUCAUCUCAUAACUCACACAAUCAUCUCUCUCACUAGAAAAGAAGCUUUCUCUCACUAAAAAAAAUAUUCUUUAGAUUUUUUCUUCUUUUAAAAGUAAGUGUCUCGAGAGUAUAUCGUAGUAGUUAAGUUCGUAGUUUCUAUUUUGGGUGUUGCGAAACAGUCUCAUCACGGUUAUAUCUUGUGAUUCAAAAAUCACAUAAAACCGUCACAUGUUACGGGUAAUUUAUUGAGUUAAGGAAAGAGAUCAAAUCUUAAGUCCGUGAAUUUGGUCUAUUUCCUUAAGAUUUUUUAAACGUUUUUCAGUCUUUAUAAUAUCGUUCAUAUGCUUUAUGUUUCGUAAUUUUCAAUUUCGCGGUCCUACACCUCUUUGUCGGCAAGCCUGUUAGGAUGUCUUUGCAAGAGUUUUCUUAUGUAGCUAGUCUUAAUUGCAAGAUGAUUUUCAAAAAAAAAAGCCAAGAGGAAAAGGAAGAACCCAACCACAGAAAAGUUAUAUUGGGGUGGACUAUUUGGAACUCUCAAGUUCUACCUUAUAGAUCUAGCUAUCAGAAUAUGGAUGAAAAUAAAGGAUGGUCAAAGACCGGGAUAUGCGUUUGAAGUACACAUGCCUAGCUUUUACAUCUUGUGUUCUACCUCUGACAUCAUAUUUUUCCCCAGAUCAUUUUAGAGCAUGUUGAAAUGAUCCGUGAUUUGGAUGAAUUGUUUGCAUAUCCUUAGGGGAGGUUUACGUUCAAGAUGUUGGCUAUAUGAAACAAAAAGAAAUAUGAAAUUCUACUUAAGAAAGCGAGUGUUGUUGCCAGGAUUUUUGGAUGUGAUUCCUCUUGUAUACAUGGCUAUUGUCCCUCAGAUUAAAGAAGUUGUCCCCCAUAGAGAGUCAGUUGUGCUAAUUGAGUCCGACAUCGAUUCAUAGUCACGGUGUAAUGGCUCGCAAGCAUACCUUUAUUAUUAAAACAUAAGCAAAUUUUAAGACUAACCUUGCAUUGGUAGAUUAAUAAUAAUUUUACCAUUUUGGCUGAUGUGACAAGCUCAAAGCCUUUUUCAACCAUCUUAACUGUUAGACCUUUAAUUACUAGAGAAUUUACAAUAAUUGCCAUUGGUACUUAUAUUACAUAUUUUGUUAAUACACUAUAACAUAUGGUAAAGGAAGAACCCAACCACAACAAAACAAGGUGCUCAUGUCGUCGCCAUCACCACGAACCUUUAACAUUUUCCAGAGAACAGAAAAUAGAACUAAUAGAAAUUUGAUUUAAAAAACCCUGAAUUAUAGGAAAACGACUAUGAUGGCGAUUGCGAUGGCGACGAAGCUCGGGAUCUAGGGUUAGAUGUUUUUCAAUUCCGGGGAUUUGGGAUAUCAAGGGAUAUAGGGUUCAAUGGUUCUCAAGAGGGAUUUGUUCUUCAUCAGAUCGAGGGAUUUGGGGAGUACCCAAAAAGAAGGCAGAUUAAUGAAAGCUGCGGUUUUGAGGUCAACUUGUGGGCAAGGUGGGGAGCAAGAAUGGUCCGAAGAAUAACAUCAAGAAGUUGAAGAUAUAUGUUCCUCAUUUUGAUAACUCUGCUAAUGAAAUGGUUAGUGUCGUGUUUUUCUCUGCUACUAGGUGGGAACUUGGGCUCGGCUUUCUUGGACAAGUUAUAGUCCUACUAGCCCUACAACUGGUCCCUUUAAACCAGUUACAAAGGGCAGGAUUGGAGCUGGAUAAGGUCUUCAUGUUGUUCAUUAUGGGGAAGAGGUCUGAGGAGCGAGUAUGGUCAAGAGUAUACUCAGCAGUGAGGGGACAUAUAUUGGCGUUUGUUUAUGAAAUAGGUAUCAGUGCAGGUGUUGGAAACGCAAAAGACUUGGCUGGAAAUCGUAUAGACAUGUGAUUUUUUUCAUAUUCGGUGAUUGGUGUAAUGGUUUAAAGGUGGACUGGGGAAUCAAUUUAUGUAAUUUUCAUGUCUAUGUGUACGUACAUAACUUAAUAGAUGAAAUUGAA